rnacentral:rRNA from 1 species
GUCAGGAGUUAGGAAAUGUAGACUCGCUAACGUCGGGUCUAUUUGACAAAGGCUCCAAAGGAAGCCACGGCUAACUCUGUGCCAGCAGCCGCGGUAAUACAGAGGUGGCAAGCGUUGUUCGGAAUUAUUGGGCGUAAAGAGCACGUAGGUGGAUUUGUAAGUCAGACGUGAAAGCCUUCUGUUCAACGGAAGAAUUGCAUCUGAAACUACAAACCCUGAGUGUAGGAGGGGAGAGUGGAACUUCUGGU